AGUACAUAUGGUUACCAGAGAAGAAGAUAGCAAUAUUUAAAAUUCAAUAGCAUCAAUGAACAUGUAUGUCAGAUCCCAGCCAUCACAUUACUUCUAGAUCAUUUGAAAUUCAUCCAGUAAUCAAAAUCUAUUUAACUAGUUCUGGAAUCAAACUACUUUAUCAACUCCAUAACAAAAUUCAUACUGUAAUUAAUACCAAUUGGACAUACCAUAACAAGAUUGGACAAAGCUUUUAAAAACUUUUAGGUCAAGCAUAUGUUUAAGGACAAAAAUAUCAUUGUAUUCAAAUACAGGUAUCAUCAAUAAAUCUUAGCAUAAAAAGACAGUAGUUUUGUUCAAUAAUACCGACUAACAAAUGAACUAAAAGCAGAUUUUGCUGAAUCCCCAUAAGCAAAGUGCUGCUAAAUGUG